GGGAGAGAUAAGGAGAGCGAGAUACAAAGAGACAGACAGGGAGAGGGAGAGACAAGGAGACAGGCAAGGAGAGGAAUAAACAAGGAGACAGACAAGGUGAGUGAGAAAGAGAGGGAGAGACAAGGUGAGUGACAGACAAGGAGAGGGAGAGACAAGGAGACAGACAAAAAGAGGAACAAUCAAGGAGACAGACAAGGAGAGGGAGAGACAAGGAGACAGACAAGAUGAGUCAUAGACAAGGAGAGGGAGAGACAAGGUGAAUGACAGACAAGAAGAGUGAGAUACAAGGAGACAGACAAGGAGAGGGAGAGACAAGAAGACAGACAAGGUGAGUGAUGGAGAGGGAGAGUCAAGGAGACAGACAAGGUGAGUGACAGGCAAGGUGAGGAGAGGGAGAGACAUGGUGACAGACAAGGAGAGUGACAGACAAGGAGAGGGAGAGAUAAGGAGCCACACAAGAUGAGUCAUAGACAAGGAGAGGGAGAGACAAGGUGAAUGACAGACAAGGAGAGGGAGAUACAAGGAGACAGACAAGGUGAGUGACAGACAAGGAGAGGGAGCGACAAGGUGAGUGACAGACAAGGAGAGGGAGAGUCAAGAAGACAGACAAGGUGAGUGACAGACAAGGAGAGGGAGCCACACAAGAUGACAAACAGACAGACAAGGAGAGUGACAGACAAGGAGAGGGAGAGAUAAGGAGCCACACAAGAUGAGUCAUAGACAAGGAGAGUGAGAUACAAGGAGACAGACAAGGAGAGUGACAGACAAGGAGAGGGAGAGUCAAGGAGACAGACAAGGUGAGUGACAGACAAGGAGAGGGAGCCACACAAGAUGACAAACAGACAGACAAGGUGAGUGACAGACAAGGAGAGGGAGAGACAAGGAGAGGAACAAACAAGGAGACAGACAAGGUGAGUAACAGACAAGGUGAGUGACAGACAAAGAGAGGGAGAGAUAAGGAGAGUGAGAUACAAAGAGACAAACAGGGAGAGAAAAAGGAGAAAAGGGGAGGGAGAUACAAGGAGAGGAACAAACAAGGAGACAGAGAAGGUGAGUGACAGACAAGGAGAGACAGAGACAGGCAAGGAGAGGAACAGACAAGGAGACAGACAAAAAGAGGAACAAUCAAGGAGACAGACAAGGUGAAUGACAGACAAGGAGAGGGAGAGACAAGGAGACAGACAAGGUGAGUGACAGACAAGGAGAGGGAGAGACUAGGAGACAGACAAGGUGAGUGACAGACAAGGAGAGGGAGAGACAAGGAGACAGACAAGGUGAGUGACAGACAAGGAGAGGGAGAGACAAGCAGAUGGAGAGACAAGGAGACAGACAAGGAGAGGAAGAAACAAGGAGAGAGACAAGGUUAGUGACAGACAAGGUGAGUGACAUCAAGGAGACAGACAAGGAGAGGGAGAGAUAAGGAGACAGACAAGGAGAGGGAGAGACAAGGAGACAGACAAGGAGAGGAACAAACAAGGAGACAGACAAGGUGACUAACAGACAAGGUGAGUGACAGACAAGGAAACAGACAUGGUGACUGACAGACAAGGAGAUAGACAAGGAGAGGCAGAGACAAGGAGACAGGCAAGGAGAGGAACAGACAAGAAGACAGACAAGGAGACGGACAAGGUGAGUGACAGACAAGGAGCGGGAGAGACAAGGAGACAGGCAAGGUGAGUGACAGACAAGCAGAGGGAGAGACAAGGAGACAGACAAGGUGAGUGUCAGACAAGCAGAGGGAGAGACAAGGAGACAGGCAAUGAGAGGAACAGACAAGGAGACAGAUAAGCGGCCUUUGUCGGCAUUUAGUGGCCCUGAUCAGCAUUUGUUGACAUUUACCGGCCCUGAUCAGCAUUUGUCGGCAUUUACCGGCCCUGAUCAGCAUUUGUCGGCAUUGACCGACCGUGUACAGCAUUGGGACAGGAGGGCUGACAAUUUUUUGUCGCAAUCCACCUUGUCUGCCUUUUGCCGAA
ensembl:lncRNA